ACCACCAAGAACAACAAUAUCACCAUCACCACCACCUCCAUCACCACCACCACCACCACCACAAACACCACCACUACCACCACAACCCACAACAACCAGUCACAGUGCCGUAUCCUUAACAUACGUACUGCACCAACAACACCCAUAGCCAAACAAACUACCUCCCUCUCUCAUUUAAAUCCUCCCAAAACUAACUUCCCCUUAAACUAAAACCAACCCACACACACACCUCUUACCCUCCCCCCCUUCAACACCACACACACCCCUUCUUAACCCCGUCUCAGUACACCUUGAGUCUCUAUUUUUGGAGUGUAAAUAAGCACCAACAAAUCAGGCUUUAUGAAAAAAGUAUGCGUCGUAUUCCACCUUAGGGCCCCUUGCGUAGUACCACACCACAAGGAAGUCUUCCUCCUGCUACGAGCUACACGUGAUGUUUCCAAACCCGGAGGAACCUGGAUGCUGUGCUAUUAUAUUAACCAUCGCUUCUUAUCUUCUCAUCUUCGCCACUUUCCCCUUCUCAUUAUGCAUGUGUAUCAAGGUA